rnacentral:lncRNA from 1 species
UCGAUUGCUGGCUCGCUCGCCCCCUCGCCUACACUCUCGAUUGCUGGCUCGCUCGCCCCCUCGCCUACUUCUCAGGUUUGAUUCUUUCUUUUUCUUUUUUUUUUUAAUUUCUUGCAUAUAUUAGUUUUAAUCAAUUUUAUUUUUUUGUAGCUUGCAUCGAAAGAAAAGGAUGGUGCUACAUAUACUACAAAAGGCCAAGAAGAGACAGAUAGCUCAAGUGACUCUGUAUGAAGAUAAACUUGUAACAUGCGUAAAGAAUGGCUGAACUAGGCUUUUUGUUUGUAGUAUGUAUUUUGCUAGUAAUAACUCUGAAAUGAUACUUAUUAUCCGGAUAGUUUAACUUGUAGAAUGUUCAAGUAAUUUGGAUGAUUUAACUAAUUUGGUGAGUUGCUCUGUAUGGUUAAAUUUGAUAUAUCAUUUAGUCACUUCUUCUUGCUCUUUUAUUCCUUUAUAAAGCCCUCUUCAGGUAAAGUUUCCAUUUUUUUAAUCCUAUUCCUGCAAAAAUUGUUCAGAUACUUUUGUAUCCAACAACCCAUUUUGGGUCUGGAUGUGUUUUGUGAUGUGUGAUUACAAUUUGGUUAUGCUUGUUCCCAUGUCUUGUUGUGAAUUGUGGGUUUUGUGUUCAUGGUGAGUAGUUGUAUGAGGUUAAAUUUGAUGUAUCAUUUAAUUGUUAGUGUGACCUUGUGUGAUGUUUAUGACACAAAUUGGUAG